rnacentral:rRNA from 1 species
AGCAGCCGCGGUAAUUCCAGCUCCAAUAGCGUAUAUUAAAGUUGUUGCAGUUAAAAAGCUCGUAGUUGAAUUUCGGGAUCAAUAUAUCGGUCGUACUUCGGUAUGUACUGGUAUUAUUGAUUUCUCCCUUCUGACGAACUAUGAUGUCAUUAAUUUGGUGUUAUGGGGAAUCAGGACUGUUACUUUGAAAAAAUUAGAGUGUUUAAAGCAGGCACACGCUUGAAUACAUUAGCAUGGAAUAAUGAAAUAGGACGUUUGAUCUUAUUUUGUUGGUUUUCUAGGAUCGACGUAAUGAUUAAUAGGGAUAGUUGGGGGCAUUAGUAUUCAAUUGUCAGAGGUGAAAUUCUUGGAUUUAUUGAAGACUAACUACUGCGAAAGCAUUUGCCAAGGAUGUUUUCAU